rnacentral:rRNA from 1 species
UACAGAGGGGGCAAGCGUUGUUCGGAAUUACUGGGCGUAAAGGGCGCGUAGGCGGCCGCCUAAGUCAGACGUGAAAUCCCUCGGCUCAACCGGGGAACUGCGUCUGAUACUGGGUGGCUUGAAUCCGGGAGAGGGAUGCGGAAUUCCAGGUGUAGCGGUGAAAUGCGCAGAUAUCGGGAAGAACACCGGUGGCGAAGGCGGCUCUCUGGGCCUGUCCUGACGCUCAGGCGCGAAAGCUAGGGGAGCGAACAGG